GUAUUUUUAUCAGAGCGAUGUCAUUUUUCACAGUUUUGGUCGCUCAGCUUUCACGGGCAGUUUCCCUUCCCAAGCUCCAGAGGUUUACAGUGAAAACUGCGAACGCUAUCUUCACAAACAGCGACAGACGGGCCAAUCGGGGCGGGGACGUCACAAACGCGCUCGAGUCAUGCGGAGCCGCCGCCACGGAGGCGCUCGGCUCCCUCCAGUGGACACGCAGCGGUACUGCAGUCGGGAGGCGCUGGAAGAUUAUUUGCUGAAUUCCUUACCGAUGCGGCUAUCUCGUGGAGAGAAAGUGGAACGGUUACGUCAUGUCCUAAACAAUCUGAUUGGAUAAAAGACAAGUCACAAAUUAAAUGACUUCUGAUUGGCGAACGCAGUUAGCGAAUCAAAAGUUAGAAAUGCGUUACCUAAUUUGUAUAGACCCUAUAGCUGUCCAAGGUGCGCACCUGUUUAAAAAUAUACAUUUAUUAUUAAUAAAACAUUUUUUUAGUACACGUGUCCACGUCAGUAUUUUAAUAACAUUAUAUUUUCAUGCUUUUAGUGAAGAAUUGUUUUACUAUCAGUCAUAUUUUAAAACGGGCAGUUUCGAAAUAACCAAAGUAAACAACGAUUCUAAACCGGAACGUGCCUGAAGGAAUCAACUGUAGUUCUCUUUUAUAGCGGUUUAAAAUGUAUCUAAAAGUAUAUACGGGUGUUUGCAAUAAUUUAAUCUCAGACGUAGAAAUAUAACCAAGAUUCAUGACGACCAUUGUAUUGAUAGAGCAGUUGUUUAAAUAAAAGAGCAGCGUCAGUUUUGGAAAUAUCACAUUUUAUAUUUGUGUCAGUUUUUAGUUAAGUAAAUUGGAAAAUUACAAGCGGUGUGUAUUUCAGUAUGCUAACGUGACGUUUUUCAGCAGGUUUCAUUUGAUUUUAUGAAGCAGAAUUAGUUAACACUCAAAUCAACCCCUCGACAGCAGUUCUACUAAAUGUCCACACGAGGGCAGCAUUGGAUAGGAAAUGAAAGCUAAAGCCUCGUCUGUCUCCCUGAAGUUCGCUACCAAUUGUAAAGAGCAGAGGACAGCUCAGCCGGAGGCGUGUGUCUGUGUGAAACGACUUUAUUUCAUGUGAUAAGUUUGUGGAAGAAGGACGCCAUGUGAGGAGGCGUUUGCUCUUGUUUUACACAGACUACGAGGGACAGCGCUCGUUAAACCAGGUGAGUGCAUCUCGUUUACUUUGUUUAUUAUUCAGUGCAGCGGUUGUUUUUGAAUCCCGCAUUUUUAAAAUGGCCGUCCGGACCCGCUUGUGACUGUUUGCUGAGUGGCUUUUAAUAAUGUGUUUGUCUUUGUGAGCUCUGAUCAGCAGGGUGCGGUUUGACGGGGGUGUGAUUCCCCCGGCUAUAUUGACUGGGGGUCAUCUUUAUUGUUUAUAAUCGUACGUUGUUAUUGCCUUUUAGCUCUUGAGCAUAAUAAUCUCAAUCCCGUUUGAAAUGACACUAAGUGCAUUUGCAUGGUGGCAGAUGAGGGAUGUCACUUCACUCGAGGCGUGCGUACUGAUGAAGAUGUAGUUUCAGUGUUUAAUGCUCAUCCCCUCACUGUGUGUGUUCUUGUCUCUCGCCUGUCCUGUGAGGAUGAAGAUGUAGUUUCAGUGUUUAAUGCUUAUCCCCUCAGUGUGUGUCUGUAUGUUCUUGUCUCUUGACAGGUCUGUGAGGAUGAGAAGGUCUCCACAGUCUGGAGUCUGGUCUCUGACAGGCUCAACAUACCUGUCAAUCAACAGGGACUCCUCUACAAAGGCAAGGCGCUGGCAGGUAGGCUGAACAGCACAGCACAGCACAGCACAGCUCACCCCUCCUCUCACCCCUCGCCUCACCCCGGGUCAGUGUGGCACAGCCUGCCUGCUCUUCUGAACAAACACUUCAGCCCUGCCGACGCAGUGAGAGUCUGGAGCAGCUACACGAGGAUUACGAGCGGAGGCUGCGCUUGUUGAGCCUGGAUGAUAUGGAGCGGCUGGCGACUCGCAUGCUUCACCCUGAGGCUGUGGAGUGCAUGGAGCUGUCCUUCCUAGACUGAGGAAUACUGCUGCUGCCCUCUCCACCUCUCCCCUCUCUUCUCCCCUCUCCCCUCUCUCCUCUCCUCUUUACUCUCUCCUCCCCCUCUCCUCUCCUCUCCUUACUUUGUUUAAAAGAAUAGAAGCACACCCAGUGAGCAAGGCAUUGAGCAGCCCCACAUCCCGCUUCACAAUACCGCUACAUAUUGACUGACUGUUCGCAUUGUGUGUGUUUGGUCUGUGAGGAUGAGAAGGUCUCCACAGUCUGGAGUCUGGUCUCUGACAGGCUCAACAUACCUGUCAAUCAACAGGGACUCCUCUACAAAGGCAAGGCGCUGGCAGGUAGGCUGAACAGCACAGCACAGCACAGCACAGCUCACCCCUCCUCUCACCCCUCGCCUCACCCCGGGUCAGUGUGGCACAGCCUGCCUGCUCUUCUGAACAAACACUUCAGCCCUGCCGACGCAGUGAGAGUCUGGAGCAGCUACACGAGGAUUACGAGCGGAGGCUGCGCUUGUUGAGCCUGGAUGAUAUGGAGCGGCUGGCGACUCGCAUGCUUCACCCUGAGGCUGUGGAGUGCAUGGAGCUGUCCUUCCUAGACUGAGGAAUACUGCUGCUGCCCUCUCCACCUCUCCCCUCUCUUCUCCCCUCUCCCCUCUCUCCUCUCCUCUUUACUCUCUCCUCCCCCUCUCCUCUCCUCUCCUUACUUUGUUUAAAAGAAUAGAAGCACACCCAGUGAGCAAGGCAUUGAGCAGCCCCACAUCCCGCUUCACAAUACCGCUACAUAUUGACUGACUGUUCGCAUUGUGUGUGUUUGGUAAGACAAACCACAUUUUCUACUUCUACUUUCUACGAUUGGGCAAGUCAGCGGUUGUUUGAUAACAGAACAUAAAACAUCACAGAGUGGGUUGAACUGCAUUGCUGCAAAUCAAGGUCCUUUAAAAUGUGUACCUUCCCAGCUCAGGUAUUGCUGAGGUAAAGAGACACUUCCUACAGGAGGACAGGACGUUGUCAAGGAGGGGAUGUCGUCACGUGUCCUGAGGGCUUUCUUAAAAACAUUGUUUUAUUAUUUCUAAGCGUACGUUGUUACUGCCUUUUAGCUCUUGAGCAUAAUAAUCUCAAUCCCGUUUGAAAUGACACUAAGUGCAUUUGCAUGGUGGCAGAUGAGGGAUGUCGCUUCACUCGAGGCGUGCGUACUGAUGAAGAUGUAGUUUCAGUGUUUAAUGCUCAUCCCCUCACUGUGUGUGUGUGUGUGUGUGUGUGUGUGUCUGUGUGUGUUCUUGUCUCUCGCCUGUCCUGUGAGGAUGAAGAUGUAGUUUCAGUGUUUAAUGCUCAUCCCCUCACUGUGUGUCUGUGUGUUCUUGUCUCUUGACAGGUCUGUGAGGAUGAGAAGGUCUCCACAGUCUGGAGUCUGGUCUCUGACAGGCUCAACAUACCUGUCAAUCAACAGGGACUCCUCUACAAAGGCAAGGCGCUGGCAGGUAGGCUGAACAGCACAGCACAGCACAGAACAGCUCACCCCUCCUCUCACGCCUCGCCUCACCCCGGGUCAGUGUGGCACAGCCUGCCUGCUCUUCUGAACAAACACUUCAGCCCUGCCGACGCAGUGAGAGUCUGGAGCAGCAACACGAGGAUUACGAGCGGAGGCUGCGCUUGUUGAGCCUGGAUGAUAUGGAGCGGCUGGCGACCCGCAUGCUUCACCCUGAGGCUGUGGAGUGCAUGGAGCUGUCCUUCCUGGACUGAGGAAUAAUGCUGCUGCCCUCUCCCCUCCCCCCUCUCCUCUCCACCUCUCCCCUCUAAGGAGUGGAGGUGAGGAGAGGGAGGAGAGAGAGGAACCUGCUACUGAGGGAGCUGCAGCUCUGAGGAGAGAGAGGGAGGAGGGAGAGGAACCUGCUACUGAGGGAGCUGCAGCUCAGAGGAGAGGAGAGAGAGGAACCUGCUACUGAGGGAGCUGCAGCUCUGAGGAGAGGAGAGAGAGAUUAGAGAGAGGAACCUGCUACUGAGGGAGCUGCAGCUCUGAGGAGAGAGAGGGAGGAGGGAGAGGAACCUGCUACUGAGGGAGCUGCAGCUCUGAGGAGAGGAGAGAGAGGAACCUGCAGCUCUGAGGAGAUCAAAUCUUUCUUCAGGUGUUGUUAUUUUGAUAUAGUUUUGAGGUUGAAUAUUUCAGUCCAGGUUUGAAGCACUCACUCUUCAUUACUGAUAUUUAAAUCCAGAAGAAACACAAAAUAAAUAAAAAUCUGUGUUGAA